GUCUGGGUGGUGUAGUUGGUUAUCACGCUAGUCUCACACAUUAGAAGAGGUCCCUAGUUCUCGAACCCGGGCUCAGACA